rnacentral:rRNA from 1 species
CUUGCUAGGAGGCGUCGAGCGGCGGACGGGUGAGUAAUGCAUAGGAAUCUGCCCGGUAGUGGGGGAUAACUUGAGGAAACUCAAGCUAAUACCGCAUACGCCCUACGGGGGAAAGCAGGGGCUCUUCGGACCUUGCGCUAUCGGAUGAGCUUAUGUCGGAUUAGCUGGUUGGUGAGGUAACGGCUCACCAAGGCGACGAUCCGUAGCUGGUCUGAGAGGAUGAUCAGCCACAUCGGGACUGAGACACGGCCCGAACUCCUACGGGAGGCAGCAGUGGGGAAUAUUGGACAAUGGGGGCAACCCUGAUCCAGCCAUGCCGCGUGUGUGAAGAAGGCCCUCGGGUUGUAAAGCACUUUCAGCGAGGAAGAAUGCUUGUCGGUUAAUACCCGGCAAGGGAGACAUCACUCGCAGAAGAAGCACCGGCUAACUCCGUGCCAGCAGCCGCGGUAAUACGGAGGGUGCGAGCGUUAAUCGGAAUUACUGGGCGUAAAGCGUGCGUAGGCGGCUUGAUAAGCCGGUUGUGAAAGCCCCGGGCUCAACCUGGGAACGGCAUCCGGAACUGUUAGGCUAGAGUGCAGGAGAGGAAGGUAGAAUUCCCG